UUAAAGUUGUUGCAGUUAAAAAGCUCGUAGUUGGACUUCUGAUGUGGAGGGACGGUCCGCCUCACGGUGAGCACUGAUUCUCUGCGUCUUCCUCUCGUAGUCUUUUGGCGCACUUAGUUGGGUGCCUUGAGAAUAUGGGACCUUUACUUUGAAAAAAUUAGAGUGUUCAAAGCAGGCAAUCGCUUGAAUACAUUAGCAUGGAAUAAUAGAAUAGGACUUUGGUUCUAUUUUGUUGGUUUCUAGGACCGAAGUAAUGAUUAAUAGGGACAGUUGGGGGCAUUAGUAUUUAAUUGUCAGAGGUGAAAUUCUUGGAUUUAUGAAAGACUAAC
rnacentral:rRNA from 12 species